CUUCGCCCCGCCUCUGCGCGCGCAGGGUGAGCCUGGGGCCCCAGCGUUUAGGGGAGCGGAGGGGCCUGGGCCUGCCUCCCCUACAUUCUCGCUCAGCGCCCCCUCACCUCCGCAGAUGACCUGACACUCCGCCGGCGCCCCCUUAAAGCCUGGAACGAGUCUGACCUGGACGUGGCCUACGAGAAGAAAUCUCAGACCGCCAGCUAUGAACGCCUGGACAUCUUCACGCGGCCCGCCUCGCCGGGCCUGCAGCUGCUGCCCUGGAGAGAGAGCAGCCUGGAUGGGCUGGGGGCGUCAGGAAAGGUGAGCAGUGUGGCCUGGACCCCGGUCCUUCCUUCCUGCUUUCCCAUUGACUUCUGCUCCUGGGCACUCCAGUAGUGAGUGCGCGCUCUCUCUCCUUCUCACUGUCUCUCCCUCUCUCCCUCUCUUUGGACAGGGUCUGACUAUAUAGUUAAGGCUGGCCUGAAUUCUGCUGUGAUCCUCCUGCCUCAGCCUCCUGAGAGCUGGGAUUAUAGGCACGAGUACCACACUCUACCCUUCCCACGUCUGCUCUUCCCUCUCUCCCUCCUGAGCCCCUUCUAACUUCCCUCUCCUCCCCCAGGACAAUCUCACGAGCGCCACUUUGCCCCGCAAUUACAAGGUCUCACCUCUGGCCAAUGACAGGCGCUCGGAUGGGGGCAGCUACCGCCGCUCGCUGGGCUCCGCCGCCGCAGGGCCAUCGGGCACCCUGCCCCGCAGCU
ensembl:lincRNA